rnacentral:rRNA from 1 species
CAGCAGCCGCGGUAAUACGAGGGGAGCUAGCGUUGUUCGGAAUUACUGGGCGUAAAGCGCGCGUAGGCGGCUUUUUAAGUCAGAGGUGAAAGCCCGGGGCUCAACCCCGGAAUUGCCUUUGAAACUGGAAAGCUAGAAUCUUGGAGAGGUCAGUGGAAUUCCGAGUGUAGAGGUGAAAUUCGUAGAUAUUCGGAAGAACACCGGUGGCGAAGGCGACCAUCUGGGACAACACUGACGCUGAGGCACGAAAGCGUGGGGAGCAAACAGGAUUAGAUACCCCGGUAGUCCCUGUCUCUUAUAA